rnacentral:snRNA from 1 species
GUGCUCGCUUCGGCAGCACAUAUACUAAAAUUGGAACGAUACAGAGAAGAUUAGCAUGGCCCCUGCGCAGUGCUAAAGUUGUCAGUUUACAUUUGUUUAUAUAAUUU